CACAACACAGUGGGUCUGCCAUUGCCCGUAUCACCCAGCUCUUCAUAGUCAUGAAGGUUGGGUCCCAUCUUGUUUGAGGAAAUUGAGCACAGGAAUGGGCUUUGAGGACGAAUGGAUUUCUUCUCUCGUGUGGUUUCCUGACAGAAGAGAUUUAGGAGAACAUUAGCUUCCAAUUCUGAAUGCCUUUGGAAAGAUCCACAAGUUGACAGAGGGGCCAGUUAGUAAGUCAUGGCUGCAGAAGUCACCAUGUACAGGAUGCCACACGUGUCAGGGCUCCUUCAGAUGCGGUAGGACGCACGAUUCCGCUCCAGGAAAUAAUCGCAGAAGAGCGAUUCAUUCUCAGCUGGUUUAAUUUGCAGACACGUAGCAGAAUUCCAGCAUCUUGUGCCUGGCAGACAGUGAACACAGAUGUGUGUGCCCUUCCCACUUUUCACGCGUUUACUCUACUCCCCAGGCCAACAGUGGCAGGCACCAAACUACAUGCAAAAGGGCAUGUUCUUCUUGAGAUGCAACAGUGUCAGACAUGGUUUCUGCCAUUCCUUCUGCAGGGGCCAGUGUGAAUCCCCUGGUAGUGUCCUUGCAGGUGACGGGUCCCCGUUCAGGUGGAUUUGUCAGAGCAGCGAUGACCUGUGCCAGCAGCCUCACCAGUACAGCAAGACCGCCGUCCUUGUGCACGGAGACUCCGCUGUCCCGGGUUGCAGUGGAUACCACCUGCAGAUAAGAAAUGCUUAACUGAGAAAUGCUCGUGUUGGGAUGUCGUCGAUGAGACGUUAAUUUGGGCAUGGUGACUGUUUCCCUUGCUGCCACUUGACUCAACCCCAGGAGCCUCAGUAGAGGAAAUAAUUUUACCCAAGAAGCUCAAAAUGGUGGAAUUGCUCAGUGCUCCCAUAAAUACACAGUUAGCAUUUUUGUUUGCCACAUGGUAAAUUUUUAAAAAUAGGAUACAUUAAAAACUCUGCAUGAUUUUUUCCAAAAAUCUGAAGUAUAUUUAAAUAAUGAACUUAUAAAUUAAUUGCCUUCUUUUCUAAUUCUGUCCCCAUAGUUUUCCUCUAUUAACAAAACUGUGUGUAUUCUUUUAGUGAAUAGAAGCACACACACACACACGCACACACACACACACACACACACACACAUUAUCUGGGGGGGAAGGUGCUCUUAGUGGUGCCGUAUUGUAAUACAGUCUUCUUCAAAUUGCCUCUUCCAUCAAACAGUCUUCCCAAUGGCCUUUUUCUAUUUCAGUAAUACAUACACAUCUGUGUCAUUUGUUCAAUGACUGCAUGCCUGUUUUGUAGAUGAAACAUAAUUCAAAUGUUUUAAGCAUUUCUCAUUUAUAAAUAUUUAUGUUAGCACCAAAUUUCUGUGCAAUGAA